rnacentral:rRNA from 1 species
GACGAACGCUGGCGGCGUGCUUAACACAUGCAAGUCGCACGGUGAAGCGCCUUCCUCUUUGGUGGGUGCGGAUGAGUGGCGAACGGGUGAGUAACACGUGAGUAACCUGCCCCCUUCUUUUGGCACACCGCAUGAAAGUGUGGCUAAUACGGGAUAUCCUGGGUCUGUCGCACGCUGGGUCUGGGAAAGACAUUGUUUCGGUGGGGGAUGGGCUCGCGGCUGAUCAGCUUGUUGGUGGGGUGAUGGCCUACCAAGGCGGUGACGGGUACCCGGCCUGAGAGGGUGGGCGGUCACACGGGGACUGAGACACGGCGCAGACACAUAAGGGAGUGAAUAGUGGGGAAUAUCGCACAUUGGGCGCAAGCCGGAGGCAGCGACGCCGCGUGAGUGAUGGGGUCCUUCGGGUAAUGAGUCUCUUUUGCCAGUGAAGCGCGCAUGCCUCGUUUGUGGGUGAGUUGACGUUAGCUGGAUAAGAGGCGCCGGCUAGGUACGUG